rnacentral:rRNA from 1 species
AUUGAACGCUGGCGGCAGGCCUAACACAUGCAAGUCGAACGAGUGGCGGACGGGAGAGUAAUGGCUGGGAAACUGCACGAUGGAGGGGGAUCACUACUGGAAACGGUAGCUAAUACAGCAUACCACAGGCUGUGCAAAGAUGGUAUUAGCUAGUAGGUGGGGUAACGGCUAACCUAGGCGACGAUCCCUAGCUGGUCUGAGAGGAUGACCAGCCACACUGUAACUGAGACACGGUCCAGACUCCUACGGGAGGCAGCAGUGGGGAAUAUUGCACAAUGGGCGCAAGCCUGAUGCAGCCAUGCCGCGUGUAUGAAGAAGGCCUUCGGGUUGUAAAGUACUUUCAGCGAGGAGGCGUUACUCGCAGAAGAAGCACCGGCUAACUCCGUGCCAGCCGCCGCGGUAAUAC